rnacentral:rRNA from 1 species
AUUGAACGCUGGCGGAAUGCUUUACACAUGCAAGUCGAACGGCAGCACGGACUUCGGUCUGGUGGCGAGUGGCGAACGGGUAAGUAAUGUAUCGGAACGUGCCCAGUCGUGGGGGAUAACGUAGUGAAAAUUACGCUAAUACCGCAUACGAUCUAUGGAUGGAAGCGGGGGAUCGCAAGACCUCGCGCGAUUGGAGCGGCCGAUAUCAGAUUAGGUAGUUGGUGGGGUAAAGGCCCACCAAGCCAACGAUCUGUAGCUGGUCUGAGAGGACGACCAGCCACACUGGAACUGAGACACGGUCCAGACUCCUACGGGAGGCAGCAGUGGGGAAUUUUGGACAAUGGGCGAAAGCCUGAUCCAGCCAUUCCGCGUGCAGGAUGAAGGCCCUCGGGUUGUAAACUGCUUUUGUACAGAACGAAAAGGUUUCUACUAAUACUAGGAGCUCAUGACGGUACUGUAAGAAUAAGCACCGGCUAACUACGUGCCAGCAGCCGCCGUAA